rnacentral:rRNA from 1 species
GACGAACGCUGGUGGCGUGCUUAACACAUGCAAGUCGAACGGAAAGGCCCUGCUUUUGUGGGGUGCUCGAGUGGCGAACGGGUGAGUAACACGUGAGUAACCUGCCCUUGACUUUGGGAUAACUUCAGGAAACUGGGGCUAAUACCGGAUAGGAGCUCCUGCUGCAUGGUGGGGGUUGGAAAGUUUCGGCGGUUGGGGAUGGACUCGCGGCUUAUCAGCUUGUUGGUGGGGUAGUGGCUUACCAAGGCUUUGACGGGUAGCCGGCCUGAGAGGGUGACUGGCCACAUUGGGACUGAGAUACGGCCCAGACUCCUACGGGAGGCAGCAGUGGGGAAUAUUGCACAAUGGGCGGAAGCCUGAUGCAGCAACGCCGCGUGCGGGAUGACGGCCUUCGGGUUGUAAACCGCUUUCGCCUGUGACGAAGCGUGAGUGACGGUAAUGGGUAAAGAAGCACCGGCUAACUACGUG